GGACUACCGGGGUAUCUAAUCCUGUUUGAUCCCCACGCUUUCGUGCCUCAGCGUCAAUCACCGCUUAGUUAGCUGCCUUCGCAAUAGAUGUUCUAUGUCAUAUCUAAGCAUUUCACCGCUACAUGACAUAUUCCGCUAACCUCAACGGCAUUCAAGACCAAUAGUAUCCAAGGCAGUUUCCGAGUUAAGCUCGGAGAUUUCACCCCAGACUUAAAAGUCCGCCUACGCACCCUUUAAACCCAGUGAAUCCGGAUAACGCUUGCACCCUCCGUAUUACCGCGGCUGCUGGCAC
rnacentral:rRNA from 1 species